UCCGAAAGUGCUUUCAGCUUUCCCAGCGCAGGUCUGGGAUGCGGCCGGCACUAGGACCUGCCUGGAGCCUGUCCGUGCCAUCCCGUAGGGAGGGAUAAAAAUAGCAGGGUAAGAUUGCAAUGUGCAACACACCGGCAGAGCGCGGUGGCCGUGCCGGCACCGGGAGCCCCGCGCCGCCAGCGGGGCCGGUGGGUGCCCCGUGCCCGCCGAUGCCCCGGCUCUGCCCGGUCACGGCCUCGCUGCUGCUGGGCACGGCCAGGGCAGCGUGCGACGAGGAGCUGCUGUUGCGGGAGGGGGUGACCCUGUGCGUGAAUGUCACCCGGCAGCAGCCCUUCCCCUCGCUGCGCGGCCUCCGCGCCAUCCGCGUGCCCGUGUUGGAUGACCCGGCCGAGGACCUGGCCCGCUACUUCGAGCCCUGCGGCGCCGCCAUCGAGGCGGCCGUGAGGGCCGGGGGCCGCUGCCUCGUGUACUGCAAGAACGGCCGCAGCCGCUCCGCCGCCAUCUGCACCGCUUAUCUCAUGAGGCACCGGCGGCUCCCGCUCAAGGACGCCUUUGAGGCUGUGAAAACUGCCAGACCCGUAGCAGAGCCAAAUGCAGGAUUUUGGUCUCAGCUGCAGAGAUAUGAAGAAGAAUUGAAGAUACCAAAGCACUCUGAUCCGCUGAGCAAAGGACUUGAAAAUAGCAAUGUGUGAAGAUACUUUAAAGAAAGUGAGGCAUUUCAGCCAAGGCCUCAAGCAGAAGCCCUCAGCACCUUUGUACAAGCUGCAGGUUUUCAUACAGCAGUCAAGAUGACAAAGAAAGAAAACAGAAGUACCUUCACCCUACCCCUUCAGCUGUCAUUCAUCAUGUUGAACUUCUAUUUCAUAGAUCAGUUGUACCUGAUUUUCAGGACAUUUCAGGGCAUUUGGUACUUUGUAACAAAGUAAGGAACAGGUCAGUAGGAUCCCACCAAGUAUAUAAAGGACAGAUCCAGUCCAGCCUAAGUACAGACCUUCUCCUAGUUCAUACCUGGAACAUGAAAGAAUUUAUGGAAUCAACUUAUAACAGGAUCACAAAACCAUGCAAACAAAUUCUUAAUUGUGUAGAAAUCAGCUAACUGAAAGCCACUUCAACAGUUAACAGAGAACAGAUCUGGCUUUGUGUCUGCUCAGUAAAACUCUUAUUUGUAUGGAGCUGAUCUGCCAAAUUACUAACAGGACAGAGAGUACUAAGCAACAUAAAGAUAAGUAGCAAUGAAUAAUUUAACAAUAUUUAACAAAUUAUUGAUAAUAAAUAAUAAUGACAAUCUGUGCAAUCCACAA